AUGAUUGUUGGCCUCAGGGGCAAUAAGUGGGUUGUUACCUACUUUGUUGCACAGCAUACACACCCUUUGAUGCAGCAUGAGGAGAUUGUGAGGUUCUACCGCUCACACCGUAAAAUUCCAGAAGAAGAUUACCAACUACUGAUGACAAUGCAUGAUGUAAACUUGUCAACUACAAAUUGCAUGGGAAUGCUUGGAAUGGUCCAUGGCGGAGACCAGAGCAAACUGCCAUAUGUGAAGAGGGAUGUUUCAAAUUCGCGUUCCAAGCUGCGACAAAAUCAGUCAUUUCAGGACAUGGAUAUGACGGUUGCUUACUUUAAGAGGCGUCAAGCUGAGAAUGCUCAAUUAUACUAUGCAGCAGAAGUUGACAAAGAAACAAACGAAGUGACAGCUCUAUUUUGGGUG
rnacentral:rRNA from 1 species